GGACAUGUGUCUAAAUAUAAUAGAGUCAGUAACGGCUUAGAGUUUUCAAUCUGUAUCAUAAAUGUUGAAGAAAACAACAAAUUCAUAUUUUUGCUCUUUUAUAGCUCAAAAUUUUCCUGUAAUUUCAGCCUAUUGGGUUCUUCUUUAACAGGAAAGUCAAAGGUUACUAUUUCUUGAUGUCUACUGUGGGCAAUCCGGCAAACAUAUUCUGGCAUGAAAAUCCAGUUGGGAAGGCGGAAAGGGAAAAGCUGCUUAACCAACAGGGAUGUGUUGUAUGGAUCACGGGUCUCAGUGGAUCAGGAAAAAGCACACUUGCAUGUUCCCUAGGUAGAGAGUUGCAGUCAAAGGGUAAGCUUUCAUACGUUCUUGAUGGUGACAACCUUCGGCAUGGUCUGAACAAGAAUCUUGGGUUCUCACCAGAAAGCCGAACUGAGAAUAUACGUAGGACUGGGGAAGUUGCAAAUCUCUUUGCAGAUGCUGGAUUAAUUUGCAUUGCAAGUUUGAUAUCUCCUUACAGAAAGGAUCGUGAUGCUUGCCGUGCAUUAUUGCCAGAUAAAAAGUUCAUUGAGGUUUUUAUGAAUAUGCCUCUACAACUGUGUGAAGAUAGAGAUCCAAAAGGCCUCUACAAGCUAGCUCGUGAGGGUAAAAUCAAAGGUUUUACUGGAAUAGAUGAUCCUUAUGAACCACCUUUGAAUUGUGAGAUUGAAAUACAACUAAAAGACGGAGUAGUUCCUACACCACAUGAGAUGGCGGGGCAAGUAGUUUCUUAUAUGGAGAAUGAAGGCUUUUUGGAAGCUUAGUGACCGUGCUUGCUGCAGAUAACAAGAAAAGACUCAGCAGAGGGAAUUGCCGAAAAUAUGAUCAAUAUUCAGACUUGUGGCUACCUGAAUGAGUCCGAGUCCGAGUCCGUCAGGAUUUGAAGUUUAUCAGUUUUGUAGAUUUGUUACUGAAUUCAUAGCUCGUUUAAGUUACUGUGUUUGUAUUUAAAUACAGAAUCUAAUCAAAGGUUAGAAUAUUUUUGUUUUGUAUU